AAAGUGUAAUUUUCUUGUAUUUAAUGUUGAGAAAGAACAAGAAUAGAAAUAUGUUUUAUCACUUUAAAACAUAUCUUUGAACAAUGUCUUCAGAUUUUACCUAAAUGUCUCCUAAGUCCAUAACCUAACAUUAUAUCUACAUUAGGAUGUUUUCACUUAGCUGAAGUAUAUUAAGACUAGUGAAUUCAUAGUCCUCAUGAUAAAAGGCAUCCAAACACAGAAUGGGACACCAAGCUGAAGUAAAAUUUGUGCAACACAAGCAUGCAAUGGGCAGAGAACAGUGAGCUACCACUGAUGAGGGCUUAUUCCAAAGAAAGCAACAACUCAAAAUAUUGCAAACAGCUGGGCAAAAGAACUUUACUCUCCUUUACAUCAUUUCACAAGGAACCUCUAUGUGAGAAUACAAGAUCAGUUGAAAAGUACCCAACCUUAUUAAUUCUCAGAGACCAGUUGGCGAGAGUGAUGUCAAGUAUAGCAGCAGACUGCUGUGCAUGCAUAAUUUUCUGCAGCUUCACCAGGCUCCUUCUCUUCAGAAACUAUUCAUUGGGACUUCUGGCUUUUCCUUGUACUGAAAAUGGCAUUGAAAGACUCCUGAUGUGAGAGCCACAGCACAGAAGGAAGCCAUUAAAAAUUGGAGAUCCAGAAAUAUUUCCAGCAAAGGUGCGUAGGUAAUCAGA